UACGGAGGGUGCAAGCGUUAUCCGGAUUCACUGGGUUUAAAAGGGUGCGUAGGCGGGUAGGUAAGUCCGUGGUGAAAUCUCUGAGCUUAACUCAGAAACUGCCGUGGAUACUAUUUGCCUUGAAUAUUGUGGAGGUGAGCGGAAUAUGUCAUGUAGCGGUGAAAAUGCUUAGAUAUGACAUAGAACACCAAUUGCGAAGGCAG
rnacentral:rRNA from 1 species